rnacentral:misc_RNA from 1 species
UGGUCGCCAAGUUAAAGUAACGCUGGAUAUAAAGUUUGUACAAUGAAGCGUAUACCCGUGAAAUAAUGUUGGUUUAACAGCAAUAUGACACUGUUCAGCAAUUGAACGUCGUAAAACAAAUUGGAAAAAUGGAUUUACUGAAAAGGAUUAUGGCAUGUUAUAUUUGAUAGUAACCUUACUUGUAGAUCUGAAAUAAAAGUCGACGCCAUGCCUCAGCUAAAAACAGACACAGAAGAAGAACUUCGAAAGUUGAUUGAUAAGGUGUUCCAGUAUUUAUUCCGAGUGGCGCUGUUUCAAGUUUCUAUGGGGGCUACAAGUGUCAUAUCAGGGGUUAUGACGUUGCACGUGUCACGUGAUCGAAUGGCGUUCCCUAUUGCAGCAGCUGUUCCAAUAUGGAAUGGUACACUGGUACUAAUAACAGGCGCUCUAGGAAUGUAUAUAUCAAAGGGAGAAAAAACGUUACAAAGUUCUAGCGUCAAAUGCUCAUUCAUUGGAUAUUUUACAAUAUGCAACAUAACCAUUACAACUAGUUUAUUAACAACAGUUUAUGGGGCAGGAUGUAUCGCACAUUGCGUCUCAACAUCUUCUUGUGAACCGGACCACAGCGCUACAUUAUCGUUUAGCGCGCUAAACAUUGUGCUUGGAAUCCUUCUAGUUGUCUGUCAGAUUUUUGGCACGUGUAUGUUCUGUAGAAAAGGCAAUAAAAAGAAGAAAAAGUCGAUUGAUAUGCACGAACUUACAGGAACAACGAAUGCACAGACGCAGUUUCUUGAAAAGUGAAUGAUAUGCAGUUUUUGGGGCAUGCGCAGAAGAGUUGGAUUUCAAAACGAGGUUGCACGAGUCUUUGAAGAGUCUGGUUCUUAUGAACAAAAUAAAAAUUGUGAUACUCAGAUACUCGGCGUUUAUUAACUUGUUACAACCAUGUCAAAGUACGUUUCUGGAGAGAACGUUCAUCUUAUGGAUAUAUAAACCAUACACACAUCAAAGAACGUUGGACACGACGACACAUUCUAAAUCAAAAGGCAUGCAUAACGCCUUUCGAUUCGACAUGCGCUUGAUUCAUUCAAGCGAUGUUGUUGUUCAA